AUGGGAUCCCAGUGUGGGGUAAAUCCCUCAGCUCCCCAGCCCCUGCUGUCACCAACGCUCCUGCUGUCCCCCCCAGCCCGGCCGCAGGUGUCCAGGAUCCAGGUGUUACCGCACUGGGAGCCCCGGGAUCAGGUGCCGUUUGCCGUCCAGCUCCAGAACUUUUACCCCAGGGGGAUUCACCGGAUCCAGUGGAGCUGGGAUGGGAAAAGCUGGGAAAAGUGUGAACCAACCGACUACAGCCAGAACCCGGAUCUCACGUUCAGUGCUACCAGCGUCUGGAGAAUCCCCAGCCGGGAACUGAACCGUCUGGGGCUCAGAGUCCGAGUGUCCGUUCAGCAAAGCCCCCAAGAGCCCCCAGUCGAGAGAGAGAUCAGAGCCGAGGACACAGCCCCAGCCGUGUCAGAAAUCUCCAAACCCGAGUCAGUGACGGCGGGGAAGGAAAUCACCCUGAGCUGCCGCAUGACGGGACAUUUCCCCGGGGCGCUGAGUGUGGCCUGGCUCAGAACGCAGAGAUCAACCACAAGCGCUCGAUUUGAGGAAUACAGCAAGAGAGACAUCCUGGUUCCUCUAGAAAACUCUGCCGAGUACAGAAUCGAGCCCGGAGCUCCCCACACACAGGACGGGAAAAGCUUCCAGCAGGAGACGAGACUCAGCUUCACUCCCUCGGUGCAGAGAGACCAGGGGGCCGAGUUCAUCUGCCGGGUGGGACACGUCACCCUAGAGAUCCCCCUGGAGAGACACACUGGGGAGCUGCACGUGGCAGAGCCACCACAAGCUCCAGUUCUUCGCGAGAUCUCCCGGCCGCAGGUCCUGACCCCCGGGGAGCAGGUCACACUGAGCUGCUACAUAUCCAGGUUCUACCCCAAGGAGCUGAGCGUGACCUGGUACCGACGGGGAAGGGGAGAGUCGGAGUUCAGGUGCUUAGACAAGCCGGACACCCACGACAUUGUCACCCCAGACCCCACAGCCGCGCCAGACAGGAAAUCCUACAGCGUGAUGUCCCAGCUCUACUUCACCCCCAUGCUGCCCGAGGACGACGGGGCAGAGUACCGGUGUUCUGUGGAACAUGAAACCCUGCAGGAGCCUGAAGGAAAAUCCACAGGGCCGCUGGAGCUGCGAGGUGGCCCCCCUCUCGAUGGAGACACGUCCGUUUUUUGACUGUCCUGCACUCACGCCACGGCCGGUGCUGGGGAGACAGAGCCAGCUGCAAACUGCUGGGAGAGGAGAGAACAAACUGACCCCUUGUG